UCCCUGUUUUCAGAGUAUACUAGUAAGCUAUAGUAAUCAGAACAAUAUUGUACUGGCACAAAAACAGAAAGAUAGAUCAAUGGAACAGGAUAGAAAGCCCAGAGAUAAAGCC